AAAACCUUUGAAAAACUUAGUAAGACCAAGAAAAAGCAUGCAAAAAUAAUCAUGAUCAAAUAAGAAAGCUGGUCGCUUAUAUUUUUUUUUGUCACGUACACUGCACCUGUAAUAAUAAGCAUAUGAAGAAAAUAAGAUGAUAACAAAUAGCAAAGGCAUGACCACUUUAUGGAUAUUCCUAAAUAAAUCAUAACAUUUACGAAUAAUUGGAUAGUU
rnacentral:lncRNA from 1 species